UACCAGCACCCCGAGUGGUCGGGACGAUUAUUGGGCCUAAAGCAUCCGUAGCCGGUUCUACAAGUUCUUCCGUUAAAUCCACCUGCUUAACAGAUGGGCUGCGGAGGAUACUAUAGAGCUAGGAGGCGGGAGAGGCAAGCGGUACUUAGUGGGUAGGGGUAAAAUCCGUUGAUCCAUUGAAGACCACCAGUGGCGAAGGCGGCUUGCCAGAACGCACUCGACGGUGAGGGAUGAAAGCUGGGGGAGCAAACCGGAU
rnacentral:rRNA from 1 species